rnacentral:rRNA from 1 species
GUAAUGUCUGGGAAACUGCCUGAUGGAGGGGGAUAACUACUGGAAACGGUAGCUAAUACCGCAUAACGUCGCAAGACCAAAGAGGGGGACCUUCGGGCCUCUUGCCAUCGGAUGUGCCCAGAUGGGAUUAGCUAGUAGGUGGGGUAACGGCUCACCUAGGCGACGAUCUCUAGCUGGUCUGAGAGGAUGACCAGCCACACUGGAACUGAGACACGGUCCAGACUCCUACGGGAGGCAGCAUG